rnacentral:lncRNA from 1 species
UGAUCGUAAUGUCCUCAAAAGCGGUUUGCGCGUGGUGACAACAUGAUUAAUAUCAUACGCAAGAUCAUAAUAUGGUGAAAAUAUUCCAGAUCAUAAUAUGGUGAAAAUAUUCCGUUUAUAUACUGAUAUUUUGGCGGAAUAUCGGCAUGAAAUUGCCGAAUCCAUUGUUCAAAAAUCGGAGUUAACAUGCAAUGAAAAAUAAAACAUCAAUAUCUAAUUAUUUUACUUACAAUGUCACAUGAAUUAUAACAUAUGAGAGGUGUUGAGUAACUCAUGGGGCUAAGCUUAUCUGUAAAGACCAAACCCAAUAUGUUAAUCAUAUUAUGAUUAAAAUAAAUGAGACUAAUAGAAACUUUGUUUAACUUUUUUAAAAUUUUAAUGGAGCAAAAGAAACAAGUAAUAAAUAAUACUAUAAAAAACACGAACAUCAAUUCUGAAACGAAAAAGAAAUCGCUUCACAUGCUUUUAAGUCUUUAACAAAAUCUAAUAUCAGUAACCACAAAAAUUGACACAACUCAAUACCUUAGCCUAACAAAACAAUUGUUAAUAUUGAGACAAGCACUAGCCACAACGAAAAUGAUGCAACCGAAGGGCCUGUAGCAUAUAACUCGAACGAAAAAAGAAGAAGAAAUUUGAAAUAACACAAGCAGCAAUUUAUAUGUACACUAUAAGGAAUCAAAUUACAAAUAGCAGGGAACUUGUUCUAUAAUUGAGUCUGAGAUUAAAUCGUCAUCACCAUAUCACAAAAUCCAUGGAAAAAAUCGAGGUUUAAUUAUAAUAUCAACACAUCACAGAAUGUUCGUCAUUAUAAAUCGUAAAAACAAAUUACCGUAAUCAAAACGAAGACUCAGAUUGACCCAAGUCAGAGCAGUAACACAAACGUCAUAAUAGCGGCAACACUCAAUACUGAAAAACCUCCAUCUGAAUCGUUGAACCGAUGAUUGGAUACUGGAAAUCAACAACACGACAUCGAGAGGAAAUCAAAACAGAACCACCAAACUUUAAUCGUGAAAGUGAAAUUGAUGGUGAUGGAUCGAAAUUGGAUCGAUAAAGCUGAAUGAUGUCGAAACGUUUGGGGUGAGUUAUGUUUGUAUCGGAGAUGAGGGUGUAUUAGAGUAUGGUCUGAAACCGUGUGAUGUGGUUGUUUCGUGGGUGAAGAAGAAGAAGAGGUUAAGGUUGGCGACGUCGCGACAAGGUGUGUCGACAGCGAGGGAGUUCGGCGAAGGUGAAAUGGUUGUUAUGUGGUGGUUCAUCGAAGAAUAAUAGAGGUGUUGUUGUAAGGGUGAGGAAGAAGUGGUGGUGGAGUUAUGUGGUGGUGCAAGGUUUAGGGGAGGAAGGGGUGUCGCCGGAAAAUGGGGUUAAAAGGUUGUAACAGUGAAGUUAGAUGUGUGAAGAAGUGGAAAAACAUUUUUCUGUGUUACUGACUUUUUUCCUCAAAUGAAGAUUUCUUCCUUUUUUUUCCUUUUGGCCUCGUUUGGAUCACCGUUAAUGCAAAAAGAAACAGUUUAUUUUUUAAGGAGAUAGGACCUGUGUCCUUGAAGGAGUGGAGGAAGAAAAAUCCUCCUUUGGUGAAUGGAGAGCAUCAUCAAUUGAUAGUCGUUCUUACUUUUGCUGAGUGGAGAAGCUAAAACAUGUAAUUCUUCAAAAUGGGAGAAUCCCAUGUGCCACGGGUCAGGCCAGUAUUG